UACGGAGGAUGCAAGCGUUAUCCGGAUUCAUUGGGUUUAAAGGGUGCGUAGGCUGAUAUUUAAGUCAGUGGUGAAAUUUUGCGGCUUAACCGUAACAUUGCCAAUGAUACUGAAUAUCUUGAGUUAACGAGAGGUAGGCGGAAUAUGUAGUGUAGCGGUGAAAUGCAUAGAUAUUACAUAGAACACCGAUUGCGAAGGCAGCUUACUAUAGUUUUACUGACGCUGAUGCACGAAAGCGUGGGUAGCGAACAGG
rnacentral:rRNA from 1 species